GAUGAACGCUGGCGGCGUGCCUAAUACAUGCAAGUCGAGCGAACGGACGAGAAGCUUGCUUUUCUGAUGUUAGCGGCGGACGGGUGAGUAACACGUGGAUAACCUACCUAUAAGACUGGGAUAACUUCGGGAAACCGGAGCUAAUACCGGAUAAUAUUUUGAACCGCAUGGUUCAAAAGUGAAAGACGGUCUUGCUGUCACUUAUAGAUGGAUCCGCGCUGCAUUAGCAAGUUGGUAAGGUAACGGCUUACCAAGGCAACGAUGCAUAGCCGACCUGAGAGGGUGAUCGGCCACACUGGAACUGAGACACGGUCCAGACUCCUACGGGAGGCAGCAGUAGGGAAUCUUCCGCAAUGGGCGAAAGCCUGACGGAGCAACGCCGCGUGAGUGAUGAAGGUCUUCGGAUCGUAAAACUCUGUUAUUAGGGAAGAACAUAUGUGUAAGUAACUGUGCACAUCUUGACGGUACCUAAUCAGAAAGCCACGGCUAACUACGUG
rnacentral:rRNA from 1 species